AGCAAUGUUUUGGGCUAUGGUGAAGCUGAAACUCACCAUCAUGGCCCAAGGGAAUCAAUGGCAGCCGCUGUGCGGGUCAAAACUCAGACAUAUGCAGGCCCCGAAACCAAUAUUCUUGCGGCAAUGGGGACGGAUCCCAUCAAACAAUCAUCAAAUCGAACACCCAACCAGCAAGCAACUGUGAAGGAGGAACCCCCAUUUCUUCUCAAUGGGACACAAAGAGGAAAAAGAAGCGAAGAAGGAAGCUUUUAGAAAGUAUUUGGAGUCUAAUGGGAUUGUUGAUGCUCUCACCAAAGUUCUGGUUGCAUUGUAUGAGCAAAAUGACAAGCCUUCCUCUGCUCUCGAAUUUAUUCAACAAAGACUUGGGGGUCCAUCUAAAGCCGAAUAUGAGAAGUUACAAUCUGAGAUGGCAGAUUUGCAAGUCAAGUAUGAUGAGCUUCUAGCUACACACAAGGAAACCUGUAAAGAGCUGGAAGAACUUAAAAGCUCACAUAACAUCACUGUAACAUCUACCAAGGAUACCACUGAUGAUGAGGAUGAGAAUGAUAAGCUAUGAAGGACGAAUGGAGCUGCACAUAGGAGGUUGAUGGAUUUUCUGUAUAGUAGCCAAGAAAAAAAUUUGAUAUCUUAUUCGUUAAAGAUUUGCAGGUAGCCCUAAAUUUUUGGUUUGGUCUCUUUCUCCAUAGGCAUAGGCUACAGUUUCAACCUACUCAGCCUAGUUGGCUUUUGAAAAGGUGAAACUUUUGACAUAACCCUCCAAAUUAGACUUUGGGGGCUAGUCACAUUCCUAUGCUCCCCAAAAGUUUUAGUGCCCAUCAUAUAUAGCUUUGAAGUUAUACAUUCAAAAAAGUUGGCAAGUAAAUUCAGUUGUUCUUCAGUUGGACCCACCUACUAGUUUAAGUUCAACCAAACUCAAAAAAACUUCAAACAUAUAUUAUUGAGGCAACUUUAAGCUAAAGCAACGAAAAUUCAAAUUUAAAUAUCUUU